AAAGCGUGCGCAGGCGGUUAUACAAGACAGAUGUGAAAUCCCCGGGCUCAACCUGGGAAUUGCAUUUGUGACUGUAUGGCUAGAGUGUGUCAGAGGGGGGUAGAAUUCCACGUGUAGCAGUGAAAUGCGUAGAUAUGUGGAGGAAUACCGAUGGCGAAGGCAGCCCCCUGGGAUAACACUGACGCUCAUGCACGAAAGCGUGGGGAGCAAACAGGAUUAGAUACCCCAGU
rnacentral:rRNA from 1 species